rnacentral:rRNA from 1 species
UCAGCAGCCGCGGUAAAACGUAGGAGCCAAGCGUUAUCCGAAUUCACUGGGCGUAAAGCGUGUGCAGGCGGUAUGGUAAGUUGGAUGUGAAAUCUCCUGGCUCAACUGGGAGAGGCCGUUCAAUACUGCCAAACUAGAGGGCAACAGAGGGAGGUGGAAUUCCCGGUGUAGUGGUGAAAUGCGUAGAUAUCGGGAGGAACACCAGUGGCGAAAGCGGCCUCCUGGGUUGCACCUGACGCUCAGACACGAAAGCUAGGGGAGCGAACGGGAUUAGAAACCCCGGUAGUCCUAGCCGUAAACGAUGUAGACUUGGUGUUGGAGGGGUAAAAGCCUUCGGUGCCGAAGCAAACGCGAUAAGUCUACCGCCUGGGGACUACGGCCGCAAGGUUAAAACUCAAAGGAAUUGACGGGGGCCCGCACA